GACGAACCGUGCGAACGUUGUUCGGAAUCACUGGGCUUAAAGGGCGCGUAGGCGGAUCUCCAAGUCCGGGGUGAAAGCUUUCGGCUUAACCGGAAAAGUGCCUUGGAUACUGGGGAUCUUGAGGGAGGUAGGGGCAGCUGGAACUUCCGGUGGAGCGGUGAAAUGCGUUGAUAUCGGAAGGAACGCCGGUGGCGAAAGCGAGCUGCUGGAUCUCUACUGACGCUGAGGCGCGAAAGCCAGGGGAGCGAACGGG
rnacentral:rRNA from 1 species